rnacentral:rRNA from 1 species
UCUAUUGUAAUCAUGCAAAUGUACAUUUUAAAUUUGAUUUAACUUAUUUGGUUGAAAAGAAGGGACGAUUUCAAAUUCAAAACUUGAAAAAAUGAAUGAUUUUAAAUCCCAAAAAAUUGAAAGAUUAGUGCAGAGAACCCUAUUGGUAAUAGGAUAUUCAUGUUCCAUCUAAUAAAAAAAUUAUAGUUUCAUUUUGAUUUUGAAUUUAAGUUUAUCAACAAGUUAUAAAUAUCAAAUUCUAAACGUAAUCUAUAUAAAGCCAUCAACAUUUAUUAUUCCACACAAAUAUGCUCCUGCCAUUACUUAUAGUUUCUUUUUUUUUUCUUUUGCUAGGUGAGUAGACAUACUGUAAGUAAUCAAUCUGAGGUUUUUCUUUUUUCUUUUUAUAGUCAUUAUGAGGUUGAUUUAUUUUGAGGCAAAGUGUAUCUUUUGUGCAAUUAUUAUUUGUUAUUUUUCAUCAUUUUGUUCCUUUUUAGAAAUUGUGUACUUACUUGAUACUUUGUGCAAAUUGGUGCUAAAUUUAGUUGGUAGAGAUUUUGAUUGAUUCUAUUCAUGUAAUAUUUUUCUUAAUUUAUAGUAUUAUACCAUACUAUACUAUACUAUACCAUAUCAUACAGUAUCGUACAUUAUGAAAUCAUGGCAAACCACCAUCUGAACAAAGUGUAAAUAGGUUGGACAAUGCGUCUGCUUCGUUUAGCCACACAUAAUCAAGAGCACCAAGUGGGCCAUUUUUGGUAAGCAAAAAUAGCGAUACGGGAUGAAUUGGAAGCCGGGUUAUGGUGCCAAAUUGUGUGCUACCCUAGAUCCCACAAAGGGUGUUGGUCAAUUAAGAUAGCAGCAUGGUGGUCUUGGAAGUUGAAAUCCACUAAGGAGUGUGUUACAACUCACCUGCCGAAUCAACUAGCCCCAAAAAUGGAUGGCGCUAAUGACGUUCAAAUAACACCUAAUUUUAGAUAAUGAUAAGGUCGUUGAUAAAAUAUAGUAAUCCAACAAAUUUUGGUAUCGAAUCUUAAGGGAACCCAUAGAAUUGCAAAUCUCAGCAGUUGUAGUCAACGGGCGAACAAGAAAAGUAAAUGGUGGGUUUUGUGUAGCAAUCUCGAAUAAGUAACUAUAUCAACUUUAGUUGUAAUCAGUCGUAGGUGAAUACUAGGAUUGAUUUACCCUAGCUUUUCAACUCUGUAGGCUUAUCGUGCUUUGUUGAACCAACCCAAUACCUUGUAUGUAGAAUUGAUAAGUUAUGUAGCUCCUACAGUCGUUUGGACGAGCAGGAGGAUUUCAUCCUUUACCUUUUAAGUCUAAGGAAGUCGCCUUACUAAUCCUUAUUUUGAUCCCAGUUAACUAUUUCCUUUUGAGUCUCUAGUUAUUAGAUGAAAUCAAACUAUCUUACUAAGAUAAACCUUAGAAACAAGGAUCGACAAUUAAAUUUAAAAUUACUAUUGUCUUUAUCUUUUCCUAAUCACUACUUUUUUUUUGUAGUAAGUAGCAAUAAUCUAGGCGGGAUCCUAAUAUGUGCACCCGUUACAAAAGCUAUUAUCAUGAAGAUAACACAAUACAUGCAUAGGUAUCAAUUCAGAACAACAAUAGCACUUCCCCUACUUCGUCAAUCCACCAGAGUUUCCAGAACCCUACCUAUGGGUUUUAACCGCUCAUGUUUGUGAAGAAAUCAGUAACAUUCAUAGAUGAGAGCCUAGAUGAAAUCAUAAUGAUGAGAAGUGUAAGAACCCAUAACUAUAACUGAAUUAAUCAACUGAAGUCAAUACAAGAGAAUCCCAAGAUCAAAAUCAAAUCUUGGAAUCAAAAUAUGUUUGUGAAUAUCUAAAGUGCAUAACUCCUACUAAAAACACACAUAAAAGGUAUUUAUAGUACAAGAGGAAACCUUAAAACCAAAGUCUGAAUAAAAUAUGAGAAAACUGGGUCGGUGGCCAUAGUGGUCUGUACAUGCACCCUGGCCUUGGGCGCAGGUAGUACCUGCAGCCCUGUAUAGGGCGCAUGUUGCAUAUGGAAAAAUCCCACUAGUCAGCUUCUCAGGAUUUUGGACUUCUGGCACUUGCUUUGCCUACCUGCGUUCUGUAGGUCCUACUUACGGUCCACAUGUUGACUUAGUAAGCAUCAGGAGUCAUCUUUUUAGAUCUUCUUCAAUUCCCUAACAUGAUUUGAUCAUGAACAAGCCAGAAAGUAUCUCGAACAUCCAUAAUUGCUCCAAAAAAUAGCCAAAACACCGUUUUUCUUUUUUUUUUUCAUGAGCUUAUUAUCCAAAACAUGAUUUUCUUCAAAAUAUACCCAAAACUCAUCAUAUCUAACAAAAUAACCUCAGAAACUUGCAUAUUAUUCCCGUUUAAGCAUUAAAAGUAUAAUAUUUCUAUAGCACAUCAUGUGCUUAAGUACGCGACCUACACCCUUUCAUCGGGGAAAGUGCCAGGACUCGAUGAGUAGAAGGGCACGACGGUUGGUGCAAAACCUUAGGCGUGAGCUCGGGCGGAGUGAUCAUCGAUGCAUAUCUUAGUGGUAGUAGCAACUAUUCAAAUGAGAACUUUGAAGGCCGAAGAGGGGAGAUGUUCCAUGUAAACGACACUUGCACAUGGCUUAGUUGAUCUUAAGGAUCAGGGAACCCCGACAGAUAGCAUAUUUCACGUGUACUUCGAACGAGAAUCAAGUUAAAAUUCCUAAAUCAGGAUGUGGCGGUUGACGACAAUUUUAGGAAGUACAGAGACAUCGGUGGGAGCCUUGAGAAGAGUUAUCUUUUCUGUUUUACAGUCGGUCUACCCUACAAUCGGCUUAGUCAGAGGUAGGGUCCAGCAGUUGGAAGAGCACCACACAUUGUGUGGUGUUUGGUGCACUCCCGAUGGCCCUUAAAAAUCUAGAGGAUCAAGUAUCAUCCAAUCUCGAUCAUACUCAUAAAUGCAUUAGGUCUCUAAGGUAAAUAACCUUUGGUCGGUGGAACAAUAUGGGUAAGGAAAGUUGGCAAAAUAGAUCUAUAACUUUGGAAAAAAAGAUCAGCUCUGAGGGCUGGGCACAGGGGUCCUAGUCCCAAACCCAUUGGCUAUCAGUGGACUGCUCAAGCUUCUCCCAUAGAUAGAGUGGUUCAUCGCGUGUCGGCCCGGGGACGAUCUGGGAACGAUUCCUUCGGGUUCCCCGCGUGUCAAACAACAAACUUAGAAAUUGUACGGACAAGGGGAAUCCAAUUAUUUAAUUAAAAAAAGCAUUACGAUAGUCCCAAUGAAUGUUCACGUAAUAUGAUUUCUGCCUAGUGCUCUGAAUGUCAAAGUGAAAAAAUUCAACCAAGUGCAAGUAAAUGAUAGAGUAGCUAUGACUCUCUUAAGUUAGCCAAAUGCCUCUUCAUCUAAUUAUUGACGCACAUGAAUGGAUUAAAGAGAUUCCCACUAUCCCUGUCUACUAUCCAACGAAACUACAACCAAGUGAACGGGUAGAAUUAGCGGGGAAAAAAGACUAGUCUAACUUUAGGAAAUGACUUGAUAAGUAUAGUAUAAGUUGGAGACGAAAGGCGAAAGUGAAAUACCACGAAUUUAAAUGUUAUUUUACUUAUUUUGUGAACUGAAAGUGGCGCAUUGCUCUUUUUGGACCCAUAACUCGCUCCACGGGCUGAUCUAGGCAAAAACAUUAUCAGAUGGGGAGUUUGGAUAGGGCGGAACUUCUGUUAAAGAUAACACAAGUGUCUUAAGAUGAGCUCAAUGAGAAUUAAAAUAUUAUAUGGAACAAAAGGGUAAAAGCUCAUUUGAUUCUAAUGUCCAGUAUGAAUAUGAACCGUGAAAGCAUGUUCUAACGAUCCUUUAGACCUUUAGAAUUUGAAGUUAGAGGUGUCAGAAAAGUUACCAUAGGGAUAACUGGUUUGUGGUAGCCAAGAGUUCAUAGCGAUUUUACUUUUUGAUCCUUUGAUGUCGGCUCUUCCUAUUAUUAUGAAGCAAAAUUCACCAAGUAUUGGAUUGUUCACCCACCAAUAGGGAAUGUGAGAUGAAUUUAGACUGUCGUAAGACAGAUUAGUUUUACCCAAUUGAUGACAGUGUCACAAUAGUAAUUCAACCUAGUACGAGAGGAACCAUUGAUUUGCACAAUUAGUCAUCACGCUUGGUUAGAGCGAAACUACCAUUUGCUGGAUUAUGAUUAAAUACCUCUAAGUCAGAAUUAGGGAUAAAAGCGAUGCAUGCACCUGCUGUCCGCUUACCAACUCGCAAUAGGUACCUCAGAACCCAAGGACACGUGUUAUUGGCUAAGCCAUCACGGCGGAAGGGUCGCGGUGGCCACAUUGAAGUACAAUCUUGAAACACCCUGGGUUCUGGU